CAGCAGCCACGGUAAUACGAAGGGUGCAAGCGUCAAUCGGAUUUACUGGGCGUAAAGGGCGUGUAGGCGGCCUGGGGCGUCCCAUGUGAAAGGCCACGGCUCAACCGUGGAGGAGCGUGGGAUACGCUCAGGCUAGAGGGUGGGAGAGGGUGGUGGAAUUCCCGGAGUAGCGGUGAAAUGCGCAGAUACCGGGAGGAACGCCGAUGGCGAAGGCAGCCACCUGGUCCACUUCUGACGCUGAGGCGCGAAAGCGUGGGGAGCAAACCGGAUUAGAUACCCCCGUAGUCCCUGUCUCUUAUAC
rnacentral:rRNA from 1 species